CGUCGCUCCCUUUACCUUUCCUUCCAUCUGCUUGACCAAGCCUACAGAUCCCCUCCCUUUCCCUUUCCUUCCCGGACCAAGCCUACAGAUACGUUCAAGGUUUCAUUAACGAUGCUUCUGCUCCGUCUCGGCGUCUCCCACCUGUCCUUCUUCUCCGCCGCUGGUUCUGGCUUUGUUCGUGAUUGGAGACUCCUCUGUCGACAGUGGAAACCACACUUUUCGACACUCGCCAAGUCUCCAACCUACUGGCCGCUUCUGUAACGAAAGAAUCCUUGUAGAUUAUCUUGAUCAUCUGGAGAGGGUGAAGAUGGAUUAGCCUAACCGAAUUGUUAAUGACUUCCAAUUUUGCAGAGUGUGUUGGAUGGGUAUAAUGGGACAGUAAUGGCUAAAGAUGAUGUGAUUAAGGGUGGCAUCAUGGCUAGAGCAUUGGAAGACAUAAUUGUUAAUACAUCUCCUGAGACUGACAGUGUGGAAAUUUCCUAUCUUCAGUUGUACAUGGAAUCCAUACAAGAUUUGCUUGGUCAUGAAAAGAUAAAAUCUCAAUUGUUGAGGAUGCAAAGACUGGACAAGUAUUAGUACCUGGUGCCACUUCGGUUAAAAUUCAGGAUCUUCACCAUUUCGAGCAGCUAUUGCAAACUGGAGAAGCUAAUCGUUAU